rnacentral:rRNA from 1 species
UACAGAGGUGGCAAGCGUUGUUCGGAAUUACUGGGCGUAAAGCGAGUGUAGGUGGUUGUCCAAGUUGGAUGUGAAAGCCUUGAGCUCAACUCAAGAAAUGCAUUCAGGACUGGGCGGCUAGAGGACCGGAGAGGAUAGUGGAAUUCCCAGUGUAGUGGUGAAAUACGUAGAGAUUGGGAAGAACACCAGUGGCGAAGGCGGCUAUCUGGACGGUUUCUGACACUAAGACUCGAAAGCGUGGGGAGCAAACAGG